GCCAUUAAAACAACAAAGAAGAAGAAGAAGUGGAAACGACGCUCGUCCUCUAGUGGUCAAGCGAUGUAUUAGUUUAAUUUCUGAUGACACGAACGAUUACUCAUACUGUUCCUGUUUGUUGCUGAGGGGUGCUGCUAUUUAAAAUGACCAGGCUUAUGGUUUUCACCUGCUGGACCAUGAAUCCGGUGAAAAGUCGCUCAGGGACACAUCAAACGAGGGACCUGGACACAUCUACAGACCAGAAUAUGACAGAGUCUAUAUUAUAUCAGACAUGUGGGCUCUUUGGACCAGUAAACAACCAACCACCCACUCACUAAGAGCACACUAGAGCUGAAACUGGAGCAGGAGUGAAUAUCUUGAGUCCACAUAGCCUAUUUGUGUCUGAACUACCAUUAUCAUUGGAAACUCAAGAUGCUGAAGAUCACGACUGCAGCUAAAAUCAACAGAGAUCCAGCAGCAGCAGAGAUCAACACUAUCAGAGAGACUGAAUCAGGAGGAUAUGAAGGACAGUAAAAGAGAUGUAAUCUGUAGGUGUUUUUAUCCUGAUAUUCCACCUCCAGAGGUAGAGAGAGACUGAUGCUGAGAUCAGACACACUGAUGCUGGACAAUAAACUGUUUCCUUUGUACCAGGAGAGAGACACAUGACUCACAUUCAACACUGAACACAACAAUAAACAAUUCUGCUGUGAUGAUGAUGAUGAUGAACAGUUUGAAGAGUUACUGCUGAUGACAGGAACAGGCAGGCCUGCAGCAGUGGUGGUGUUAUGCUGUGGGCAAUGUAGGGACAUUUUAGACCCCAAUAUCCCAAUAACACUAUCCCUGACAGUUGUCAGAUAUCUGAACAUCGUUGCGGACCAAGUGCACCCACUCAUGGCAACUGUUCCCUGAUGGUCAUAACCAACAGGAAAAAUGCGCCAAGCCACACUGCCAGAAUUAUUAAGGAGUGGUAUGAGGAACAUGAUGGUGAAUUUCUGUUAAUGUCUUGGCCUCCAGAUUGUAGUGGACAGCACAUUCCAGGGCCCAGUUUAUUGCAAGGGGCCCUCCCCAACCACAUAGUGGACAGAGGUUUGCUACAUUUUGAUUGGAUCUUGGUGAACUAACAUAAGCAAACGGUCCAAUGGCAUCAGAUAAAGAUGCCAGGACAACAGCCAGACCUCUCUUAGAGCACAAGAAGACCACCUUUGGUACAAAGCCCAGGAAGGACAGGACUUCCUUUCGGUCAAAAUGCAGUUUGUGCCCUUCACCCACCUUGAGACUGUUCCUAAUGGUUUGGUUUGUGACCGACCAUAAAAAUUCCUUAGGACCUCCAGAUGCAGCAGCAGUGGGUGAAACUAAGAGAGAUCAUGGAGAUCCAUCCAAAUCCAUUCAUAACCGUUUUCAAACCUUAAAACUGAUGCACACUACAACACAGACAUUUUAUACUUAUUCAGAGAAAUAAGUAUUCCUCUUACAGCAACGUGUAGUGCAACAUCUUACACAAACUCAGCUGUUAAUGGACAAAUGAAUGCAUGCAUGACAAUCUUUUCCCAUCAUGUUUGGACUUAAUGUGUUCAUAACAUUGCCAAAUGCAUUCUGGUUAUGGUUUGAGAAGUGAGAAAUGCACUUUUCUAGCUUUGUGUUUGGACUAUACACAUAAAUUCCACAGGAGGAAAGAAGGGUGGGCCACCUCGUGUCCCCCCACUCUGAUGGAACCAGCCAAUCACAGCAUGGAAAUGAAGAAGCGCCAAAUUGCAAUCUCCUCCUCAUCGGAAAGGGAUAAAGGUACCCUUCCAAAAGACACUCCUUGUUCUGAGUCUGCUACCCGUGAGGGAAGGGACAAACGGAAUACCACGUUCUGAGUCUGAGUCCUGUGAAGAAAAAGGCACAAACAAGACAACCUGCGUUCUGAGUCUGUGACCCACAAGGGUGAGACAACAACAGAUACCAAGUCCAAGUCUCCAGCUUUUGAGGCAGCAACAGAUACACGUUCUGACCACGUUCUGAGCCUCCAGCCUGCGAGGAAAGAGAUAAUCUACGUUCAGAGUCUUCGUCCAGCGAGACAACAACUGAUGCAGCAUCCUGAGUCUCCAUCCUAUAGAGACAAAGCGGAUUGACCAAGUUCUGAGUCUCUAGCCCAGAGAGGCAGAAGACAGUUGCAACAAGGUUAAGCUCCGGCGAGCAAACCUUCACUUCAGGUACUUUUGCUUGCAUGUUCCAAGCUCAGGACCUUCAGCGCCUACUCCAGGGCCACGUCUGCGUGUUCCAGAUCUCAGGAACCUUGGUGCUCCAGGAGAUCAGAAACCUACAGCGCUUCAUCUUCAAGGCUGUCGAAACGGAUUCCUGCUCCUUUGCCCACUGUACUGCCACCAGCGCACCCAGUGGAAGAAGUCGCCACAAUCGGACUGCUCACUCAACCACAGAGAACGUAAAUAUCACUUCCAAACCUCUUCCGGAGACCUUGGCAUUGUUGUACAUUAUCAGUAUAUGAUUUUCUAAUUUACAUUAGGUAUUAUAUAGCUGAUUGCAGUUGAUAAAUAUUACAUGCAUUUAUUUGAUGCAUAAUAAGGUUCUUUACCUUAUUUGUUUCAGAGUAGCAACAGUUUACUUUCUAGAUAACAUAUGUUCUUUGCUCUUAUAAACCCCAUAAAUUGCAGCCAUCAUAAUCAUAAUUUGUUUAUAUUUGUACAGGUGAUAAUAUACAGGUAUAAUAACAUUUCUAAAAAGACAGGCUUAUUUACUGUUUAAUCCCUUUAAAGAAAAAGACGAAUUACCCCUGUUUACCAAUUAGAAAUAUAACUAGUCAAACUUAAAGAAGAACCCACAAAUAUAAGGAAACAAACAGGACCAUCACAUCAAGAUGUAAUUUUGAUUCAGUUGUUACUUUGUAUGAACUGAAGAGAGAGUGCUUACAGAGGUAAAAUAAAACCUCUCCAAGCAAAGAUAAUAUAUAUGUUAUUAAAUGCCCGUAACUCCUGUCAACUGUUGAAUGAAUCAGUGUCCCAUUCCCGCUUGUUUACUUUGAACGCAAGGCCUCAUGGGGCGUAGGAAACUUGUGGAUACCAAAAAAAGUUGGACAACUGCGUCAAACUGGUUGAGUAACAUUACCCACUGUCUACUUUUAAGUGUGUUUCUUAAUAUUUAUACCUCUGUGAUUAUAGUAUCUUUCCUUAAUAUCUGAAAUGUCUGUUAGCAAAUGGUAUGCUAGCAUAGCAUAUCUGUUUAUAAUGAUGCUAAGCAUGGAACGUCAAUGCUUUCUUUCAUAUUUCGCUGUAUAUCAUAUGUUUUUAUUAAUAUUUUGAGUGUAUUUUACGGUUCAUAUUUGUAUGUUUCUCAAAAUAAAUCAACUGAAUUAA